CACUUCGUGGUGUAACGGUAGCACACUCGUCGUGUAUUCGAGAGGUCCAGGUUCGAGCCCCGGCGAGGGCA
rnacentral:tRNA from 1 species